rnacentral:snRNA from 1 species
GCGCUAGCUUCGGCAGCACAUAUACUAAAAUUGGAAUGAUACAGAGAAGAUUAGCCUGGCCCCUGCGCAAGGAUGACACUCAAAUUCACAGGGUUAUCCUCGGCUAUA